UGUGGGAUAGCUGGGUCAAAUGGUGGUUCUGUUCCAAGUUUUCUAAGGAAUCUCCCAACUAUUUUUCAGAUUGGUUGCACCAUUUUGCAGUCCCAUCAGCAAU
rnacentral:pre_miRNA from 1 species